AUGAAUAUCCUAGUGUGGAACUGCCGGGUGGUGGGGGGUGACCGCCGGACAAUUCAUGAGGUGUUGGCCCUCUCUAAAGCCAAUUCCCCGGGGCUUGUCUUUCUCUCGGAAACUAGACAUGCCUCUUCAAAGAUGGAGAAACUAAAGUGGAGACUGCAUAUGAAGGGUUUUGCGGGUGUAUCGAGUGAUGGACUUAGUGGAGGACUUGCGCUCCAUUGGGACGAGAAGUUGCAAGUGACAGUGUUGGAGUCCUGUGCAUGGUACAUUGACGUGCGGAUAGUAGAUGUGGCAAGUGACAAGAACUGGAGAACAACGUUCGUUUAUGGUGAGCCUCGAGUAGAGAACCGUCAUCUCAUGUGGAGCUCACUUUCCCAGCUCCGUGCAUUCUCCUCGGAGCCGUGGGUAGUGUGUGGCGACUUCAACGAGGCGAUAUGGCAGCAUGAACAUAUGUCUAGAACCCAGCAUUCUGAAAAUCAAAUGGGGAUGUUCCGUGACUGUUUGUUGGCUUGCGAGUUGUGGGACCUUGGUUUCUCGGGGUAUCCUUUUACAUAUGAUAAUGGGCAAAUGGGUGAGAGGAACGUGCAAGUUCGCCUUGACCGAGCAUGUGCGGAUGAAAAUUGGAGGGAUCUCUUCCCGGCUGCGCAAGUUCUUCACUUGGCAUCUUCAUGUUCUGACCAUAGCCCGAUCUUGGUUCAGCUUGCUCUCGUGGAUUCCAGGAGGACUAGGGCCUCCCCAAGAUACGAGAUUAUGUGGGAACGCCACCCGACGCUUUUAGAAGUAGUGGCGAGUAGAUGGAGGAAGAGCAAACCAGCCGGCAAUCUGGCUGCUGUGCGUGACGCCCUACAUGAAAUGAUGACAGGCCUCCGGGCGUGGAGUAAGGAGAACUUCGGCCAUGUUGCAUCAGAACUGGAGAAGUUAAGGGCCGAGCUGGCUGAUUUACAAGUAAGAGAUGCGGACAGAGCGGUGAUCCGCCAGAAGAUGUAUCAACUUGAUGAGUUACUAUAUAGGGAAGAGAUGAUGUGGCUGCAGAGAUCUUGCAUUACGUGGCUGAAAGAAGGAGAAAGAAACACGGCAUAUCUGCAUAGGCGAGCUUUGUGGCGUGCAUGA
rnacentral:rRNA from 1 species